UUCAAUAUUGCUGUCAAAAGCAAUGUGCACUUCUCUCUUAGUAAGACGCUGUGAUCCAUUAGAAAUUGGACUAUUCCAAUAGUCGUUUGGCUAUCAAUAGGCUGGCAUGAAGUUUAUCGAUACAAAUGGCUCGGUCUUUCAACGGCUGGGUGUAUUGUUUGGUAAGCAUGCUGUUACCUGUAUAGCUGUCUGAUGGAUUUUAAAGGCCAUAUCAUUGAUGCUACGGCACCACUCAUACGUGAGAUGGAUAUGUGCCCGAUCAACAGCGGUUAAAUUUGGGAUACCUUUUGGACCCGUCUUGAAACACGGACCAAGGAGUCUAUCUAGUAUGCAAGUAAAUGAGUAUAUAAAACUUAUUUGCGUAAAUAACUUGACUGUUAUGGGAUUACGAGUGAUAACUUUACGGUAUCAUUCCUCCAUCCCGGGGUAUUUUCAUCCACAUAUGCAGCAAUGUAUAUGGAAAAUAUACCAUGAGCAUACUGGAUACGACCCGAAAGAUGGUGAACUAUGCUUGAUCAGGUUGAAGUCAGGGGAAACCCUGAUGGAGGACCGAAGCAGUUCUGACGUGCAAAUCG
rnacentral:rRNA from 2 species